rnacentral:rRNA from 1 species
CACACGACUCUCGGCAACGGAUAUCUCGGCUCUUGCAUCGAUGAAGAACGUAGCGAAAUGCGAUACCUGGUGUGAAUUGCAGAAUCCCGUGAACCAUCGAGUCUUUGAACGCAAGUUGCGCCCGAGACCACUCGGUCGAGGGCACGCCUGCUUGGGCGUCACGC